CCUAACCGCAACCGUAAAUGAGAAAUAUAAAUAAAGACACCACAUUCACAUACUAAAACAUUUUACCGCCCAAGUAUAGGUGAUAGAAAAGGUCCAUAGAGCAAUAGAAUUAGUACCGCAAGGGAAAGCUGAAAAAGAAGUGAAACAACCCAAGGAAGCAAAGAAAAGCAGAGACUAGCCCUCGUACCUUUUGCAUCAUGAUCUAGCAAGAAACCCCAAGCAAAGAGAACUUAAGUUUGACCCCCCGAAACCAGGGGAGCUACUCCGGAGCAGCCCAAAGGGGCGAACCCGUCUCUGUGGCAAAAGAGUGGGAAGACUUUCGAGUAGAGGUGAUAAGCCUACCGAACCUGGUGAUAGCUGGUUGCUCAGAAAAUGAAUAUAAGUUCAGCGCUAUACCAUUCUAUUUUUAGAUCUGAAAAGAACGAGCAAGGUGUAGUAGUUAGUCAAAAGGGGUACAGCCCUUUUGAAAAAGGAUACAACCUUACGAAGGAGGGGAAGGAUCAAUCAAUUUAAGGCACUUCCCCCAGUGGGCCUAAAAGCAGCCACCUGUGAAGAUAGCGUUAAAGCUCAAGAAAAACUUAACCAACAAUGCAAGUAAACCCAACCUAUCCCCCUAUCAACACUGAGCCCCCCUAUGUACGCAUAGAGAAGAUAAUGCUAGAAUCAGUAAUAAGAGGGGUACACCCCUCUCCUCGCACAAUCAUGAGUCAGACAGGAUUAUCCGCUGAUAAAUAACGGACCCAAAAGAGGGCAAAACAAAGAAAAAUUAACAAACAAGAAGACCCUGAAAAAACCACCGUCAGCCCGACACAGGAGUGCGCCCAGGAAAGACUAAAAGGGAGAGAAGGAACUCGGCAAAACCAAGACCCCGCCUGUUUACCAAAAACAUCGCCUCUUGCUAACAGUGAAGUAUUAGAGGUCCCGCCUGCCCUGUGACAGCAGUGUUUAACGGCCGCGGUAUUUUAACCGCGCGAAGGUAGCGUAAUCACUUGUCUUUUAAAUGGAGACCUGUAUGAAUGGCAUAACGAGGGUUUUACUGUCUCCUCCCCCCAGUCAAUGAAAUUGAUCUCCCCGUGCAGAAGCGGGGAUAGUAACAUAAGACGAGAAGACCCUAUGGAGCUUCAGGCAAAUGAUCAAGCUCACGAAGUCCUAGCAUUAAAUAAAUGUAGGAAAAGCAUAAAGCGUAUGAUCAAAGUGCCUUCGGUUGGGGCGACCAUGGAGGAAAGAAAAGCCUCCACGUGGAACGGGAAAACCCUUGAACUAAGAAGAACAACUCUAAGUACCAGAAAAUCUGACCAAGAAUGACCCAGACUUAAAUCUGAUCAACGAACCGAGUUACCCUAGGGAUAACAGCGCGAUCCCCUCCCAGAGUCCAUAUCGACGAGGGGGUUUACGACCUCGAUGUUGGAUCAGGACAUCCUAUUGGUGCAGCCGCUAUUAAGGGUUCGUUUGUUCAACGAUUAAUAGUCCUACGUGAUCUGAGUUCAGACCGGAGCAAUCCAGGUCGGUUUCUAUCUAUGAACUACCUACCCCUAGUACGAAAGGACCGGAGUAGGGGGGCCCACGAAAACACAAGCCCUAACCCAACCCGCUGAAACCAUAUAAAGCAUUUAAUGGGAAAGACUCAUCCGCCAAAGAUAAUGGCAU
rnacentral:rRNA from 1 species